rnacentral:tRNA from 1 species
GCCGAGAUAGCUCAGUAGGUAGAGCGGGGGCCUGAAAAGCCCUGUGUCAGCAGUUCAAUUCUGUUUCUCGGCACCA